rnacentral:rRNA from 1 species
CAGUAGCCGCGGUAAUACGUAGGGCGCAAGCGUUAAUCGGAAUUACUGGGCGUAAAGCGUGCGCAGGCGGUUUUGUAAGACAGAGGUGAAAUCCCCGGGCUCAACCUGGGAACUGCCUUUGUGACUGCAAGGCUGGAGUGCGGCAGAGGGGGAUGGAAUUCCGCGUGUAGCAGUGAAAUGCGUAGAUAUGCGGAGGAACACCGAUGGCGAAGGCAAUCCCCUGGGCCUGCACUGACGCUCAUGCACGAAAGCGUGGGGAGCAAACAGGAUUAGAUACCCCCGUAGUCCCUGUCUCUUAUAC